CUUUCAUUCACCUUUUCCAGACUUCGCAAUGAGUUGAAUUGUGUUCACAAAGGAUUUUUCCUUCCUUUUGUUAUCCUUUAUGGGGUGAACCAGGUCCCUUCUGUACCCCAGUUCAAAUACUCAUCUCCAAUGGGGAAGGUCCAAGCCUCUAUCACUGAUGCAGGCUUUCACUUAAUUAUUAUGAAUGACUGGAUGAUGGAUUCAUACAUAUAUUUUUUGAGUACUAACCAUGUGGUAUGCAUCAGGCUGGGUCCUGGGGACAGUGGAAAAUAAAGAAGACCCAGUUGGUACCUGCCAUCCUGGAACUUGGAGUCCAGUGAGGACAAUGGAUGAUCCACAAGCAGUUCACACAAAACAGUCAGAUUCAGACAAUCCAGUGGAGCACUCUGAAGGUUAGAGGAAGUUGUCCAAUAGAAUUUUCUGGAAUUAUGGAAAUAUUCUAUUUUUUUGUAUCCAGUAUCUAGUCACAUGUGGCUAUUGAGCACUGGAAAUGUGGCUAAUGCAACCGAG
rnacentral:lncRNA from 1 species